GUGAGGAAUUUUCCGCAAUGGGCGAAAGCCUGACGGAGCAAUGCCGCGUGAAGGAUGAAGGCCUAUGGGUUGUAAACUUCUUUUCUCAGAAAAGAAUUAUGACGGUAUCUGAGGAAUAAGCAUCGGCUAACUCUGUGCCAGCAGCCGCGGUAAGACAGAGGAUGCAAGCGUUAUCCGGAAUGAUUGGGCGUAAAGCGUCUGUAGGUUGUUUAAAAAGUAUUCUGUCAAAGAUUAGGGCUUAACCCUAGAUAGGCAGAAUAAACUUUUAAGCUAGAGUUUGGUAGAGGCAGAGGGAAUUCCCGGUGGAGCGGUGAAAUACGUAGAUAUCGGGAGGAACACCAAAGGCGAAGGCACUCUGCUGGGCCAAUACUAACACUGAGAGACGAAAGCGAGGGGAGCAAAUGGGAUUAGAAACCCCGGUAGUCC
rnacentral:rRNA from 1 species